ACCGAAAGUUUGCGAUGUUUUGCAUAUAAUCGAGAAGAUUGCCACUGUCCAGUAGAUCCUCUCAAGCGAUACGUCAAGCCGUCGUGUAAAGAACAUGUAAGAAGAUUAGUGGUUAUAAAUUACAUUGGAGUGAACGAAAGGUUCCAGUGACGUUAGAGGUCUCAGAUUAUCCUAGGGGAUUUGUUGUUGUCUGUGGUGGUUUUAGCACAAUGCAUCUUUUCACAUCAGAGAGGAGAGAGGAAUUGCUGAAAAAGUUGAUGGAAUCUUCUUUAAAUAAUGUUGGUGUUACGAUAAAUGAUGACGACCAUAUCACAUCAAUGUCAGAAUUCAGCGUCUAUAAAGAAACUCCUCGGAGUAAAAUAUUUUCAAUAAUUCGCUAUCGAAACCAUCCUCAGCUGUUCGGGCUGGAAUACACAAGCGGUCGGCUGAGAAAUUACUCGUCUCCUGACAGGGAAACAUUAUUGGCUGGUUUGCUAGACGGUGUUAGAGCCAGUUGAAACAGAGAUGUUUGCGUAAAAACGACCCCAACGAAGAGAAGUACUGUACGCUUAUUCAUAGAUGAUUGAGCGAAAAUUAUGGUCAAAAUUUUCCU